CCAAUCCCCAUCCACCCACCGCUGCCACAAGGCUCCGCCCCCACCCACCGUCGGCCACCCACCCUCUCCCCCUCCCUUCCACGCCCUCGCCUUCCUCCCUACCCAGGCCGCGGAUCCAACAGUCCAUGUUGUUCACCCCUCAUCCUUCCCCCUCUGUUAGGGUUAGGGUUUGCGGUUGGAGGGCCCAGCCGGCCGGCGAUGGACGCCGGCGACGGAGGUAUCGUUUCCACGGAUCUGUGAUGGAGUGCGUGCUUAUUUUCCUCUCCACGGAUCAAGGCAUAUCCACUGGAUCCAUGAGGUGUUGGAUACUACAUGGAUAAUUUAAAAUAUAUAUCACUGCCCAUACGCAUAGAAGUUUUUUGUUACCUUUUUUUGAAGAUUCGGCCCAAAGACCAGUUUCAAUAGUUCUGAAAGUAUGAUCGAGUUAAUGGAUAUAUUCGGUUGUCAAGUGACGACAUUGAUGGAUGCAGGACAAAGGGAAACAAGGAGAUUUUUAUGUUAGUUUUAGAAGACUUAAGAUAACUUCACUUGGAAAAGGGAUAUCAUCAAACGCUCAGUCCCGAGUAGAUUAUUCAGUGAGAAAGGUGUCGUUCAAGUGAUUGUUCCCCUGAUGUGGUGUCAAAAAGCGCACUAUUCUAUUCAACUGGGUUUGGGAACUCUGGGAGUAAGUACCUUGAAACAAUAUAUCGAGAUUGUAGUCUCCCUAGGAGGACUUAAAAUGGGCGUUGCGCAUCUGCCUUCGCAAAAUCAAUCAUAGUUUUGCCAUCUACCGGUGGCGCUGGAUGCGGUCGCCUACUUUGUCGCACAACUCCUUUGACCAUCACGUACAACCCAACAUGGGUGCUGCAGGAGAGGAGAUCAGAUGUAUAGAAAGAAAAGAAAAGGCUGCAAGUCGUGGUCGUUUACAGGAGAGGAGAUGGUGGACUUGCAAACACCUUUGAUUUUGUUCAAUCCUGUGGAGGGAAGGCGAGAUUAUGGAUGGAUGGAGCUUGGUUGAAAUUGGGUUGCUGCUGCUGUAUUGGCAUUUCAGACUCAAGAGAAUGUUCCUUGCCAAAGUAGAGAUUGGGCGUUGUCGCCAGCGACUCUGGCGGUUGAAUUCAUGAGCUUAGCUAGAUUAGGUAGUGUUGGUGUUGCUGUUUAUGGAUUUGUUGUGAAUAGGAAUAGCCAUCCUGGUUGCUCGCUGCACAUGUUUCAAUUUUUGUUGUUGCUUGACUUGGUAGUCAUUGCUCCCAUGAUAUCUUUAUCGAGUGAAUUUAUGAACAUACAUGUAUUUCUUCCAACGCUUCAUAUGUAUAGUGUUUCAUGUCUGUAGAUACUUAUCAUUUUGAUAAUUUUGUUCUAUAUCUGA